UAGGGAAUCUUCGGCAAUGGACGAAAGUCUGACCGAGCAACGCCGCGUGAGUGAAGAAGGUUUUCGGAUCGUAAAACUCUGUUGUUAGAGAAGAACAAGGACGUUAGUAACUGAACGUCCCCUGACGGUAUCUAACCAGAAAGCCACGGCUAACUACGUGCCAGCAGCCGCGGUAAUACGUAGGUGGCAAGCGUUGUCCGGAUUUAUUGGGCGUAAAGCGAGCGCAGGCGGUUUCUUAAGUCUGAUGUGAAAGCCCCCGGCUCAACCGGGGAGGGUCAUUGGAAACUGGGAGACUUGAGUGCAGAAGAGGAGAGUGGAAUUCCAUGUGUAGCGGUGAAAUGCGUAGAUAUUUGGAGGAACACCAGUGGCGAAGGCGGCUCUCUGGUCUGUAACUGACGCUGAGGCUCGAAAGCGUGGGGAGCAAACAGG
rnacentral:rRNA from 2 species